rnacentral:rRNA from 1 species
UACGUAGGGCGCAAGCGUUGUCCGGAAUUAUUGGGCGUAAAGAGCUCGUAGGCGGUUUGUCGCGUCUGCUGUGAAAACCUGAGGCUCAACCUCGGGCUUGCAGUGGGUACGGGCAGACUAGAGUGCGGUAGGGGUGACUGGAAUUCCUGGUGUAGCGGUGGAAUGCGCAGAUAUCAGGAGGAACACCCGUGGCGAAGGCGGCUCACUGGGCUGACCUUGACGCUGAGGCGCGAAGGCGUGGGGAGCGAACGGG